UGUGUGUGUGUGUGUGUGUGUGUGUGUGUGUGUGUGUAGUGUAUUCAUGUGUGAAGAGGGUGUCCACAGAGGUCAGAAGCAUUAGGUUUUCCUGGAGCUAUAGUGUGUGUGUAUUGUAUUCAUGUGUGAAGAGGGUGUCCACAGAGGUCAGAAGCAUUAGGUUCUGCUGGAGCUACAGUGUGUGUGUAUGUGUGUGUCUCUGUGUGUGUGUGUGUGUGUGUGUGUGUGUGUGUGUGUGUGUGUGUGUGUGUAGUGUAUUCAUGUGUGAAGAGGGUGUCCACAGAGGUCAGAAGCAUUAGGUUUUCCUGGAGCUACAGCCACAGGUGUUUAUUAGCUGUCCGAUAUAAGUGCUGGGAAUUCAACUCAAGUUUAGGAGUCUGUUCUUUUAACCACUGAGCCAUUUCUCCAGCUCACAUUCCAGAUUUAUUUUUUUUUUUUUUUUUUUUUUUUUUUGGUUUUUCGAGACAGGGUUUCUCUUUAUAGCUCUGGC
rnacentral:lncRNA from 1 species